UUAAAGUUUUAUUUUAGCUUAAAUAAUUAAUAUAUAUAUUUAAAAUAUAUGUAAAUUUUUGUUUUAUUUUUUAUAAAUAUUAAAUAUAUUUAAUUAAUAAAAAGAUUUUAUUAUUCGCAGUAUUUAAUAUUAAAAAUUAAAGAAAUUUUGAUUUAGGAAUUUAUAAUAAUAUUAACAAAAUAUGUGCCAGCAGUUGCGGUUAGACAUAUAAUAUAGUUAUUUAUUUUUAGUUGAUAAUUAAUUGAUUAUUAUUAUUUCUUUUGAUAUUAUUAAUUUAUUGGGUGAAAUUAUAAAUUAAUAAAGUAAAGAUUUUAUUUAGAUGAGGUUAUUAAAUUUUAUUAUAAACUAGGAUUAGAUACCCUAUUAUUAAAAUGUAAAAUAAAAAAAAUUUGAAUAGUAAAAGUUAUAGUCUUUAAAUUUAAAAAAUUUGGCGGUAUUUUAGUCUAUUUAGAGGAACCUGUUUUUUAAUUGAUACACCACGAUUAGAUUAACUUAUUCUAUAAAUUUGUAUAUCGUUGUAAUUGAAUAUAUUAUAAGAUUAUUAAAUAUUCAUAAUUUUUUAUUUAAAAUAUAAAUCAAAUCAAGGUGCAGUUAAUGGAUAAGAUUAUAAUGGGUUACAAUAAAAAUAUUUAUGGAUUUAGAUUUUUAAAAUUUAGUGAAAUUGGAUUUAAUUGUAAUUAGGUUAAUUUUAAUUUAAUGAUUUUAGCUCUAAAAUAUGUACAUAUUGCCCGUCGCUCUCAUUUAAGGUGAGAUAAGUCGUAACAUAGUAAGUGUACUGGAAAGUGUAUUUAGACUG
rnacentral:ncRNA from 1 species